CCUACGGGAGGCAGCAGUGGGGAAUAUUGCACAAUGGGGGAAACCCUGAUGCAGCGACGCCGCGUGAGUGUGGGAGUACUUCGGUCUGUAAAGCUCUAUCAGCAGGGAAGAAAAUGACGGUACCUGACUAAGACGCCCCUGCUAACUAGGUGCCAGUAGCCGCGGUACUACGUAGGGGGCAAGCGUAUUCCGGAUUUACUGGGUGUAAGGGGAGCGUAGAGGGGUAAUCAAGUCAGAAGUGAAAACCCAGGCCUCAAGGUUGGAAGUGCUUGUGAAACUGAGUAGCUAGAAUGCAGAAGGGGUAGGCGGAAUGCCUAGUGUAGCGGUGAAAUGCGUAGAUAUUAGGAGGAACACCAGUGGCGAAGGCGGCUUACUAGACUGUAAUUGACGUUGAGGCUCGAAAGCGUGGGGAGCAAACAGGAUUAGAUACCCCAGUAGUC
rnacentral:rRNA from 1 species